CUGCAGCCAACACAGCCGACCAUGCUCUCGGGCCUGUGGGGUCCCGUGUAUGCUGGAGGCACCCAGCAGCCCCCGUGGGAAUGUCCAUAGCCCGCUGCUUGUAAGGGCCGCCCCAAGGGACCCUGGAGACAGCC